UAACCAUAAAGAACGUGAAUAUGAGCAGGAAUAUAGUGUCAGUUGAGUCAGUACUGCAACAAAAUCAACAUGGAAUGACAUUCCCAACUCAUUUUACUUCCAUAUGUGAGUAAAACAGGAAAUUCAAUAAGAAAACAUUUUUUCCCAUCAGACAUCGAUUGGAUCAUGAAAGACGAUGUUACAGAAGUGGGGCAAGUUAUAACAUUAUGAUAAGGGAUUACAAAAACAAAACAAAAAAUUUCCCUGGAAUAACAUGAACUGAUGAACUGCUCACAAUAAGACCAAAAACUUGUAGACAAGAAAGAAAAAGUGUCGAUUGCAUUUUAUGUUGACAUACAACAGAUGCAAGUUAAUAAUGUGCAGGUUAAAAUAAACGAUUCUCUUUUAGUUAGCGUUAGGAAUUCCGAUUCAUUUCAGUGAGUCGGUUCUUUUGGACGGUUCAUGUACAUGUACAAGUUAAAAUAAUCGAUUCCCUUUUAGUUAGCGUUAGAAAUUCCGAUUCAUUUCAGUGAGUCGGUUCUUUUGGUCGGUUCAUGUACAUGUACAGGUUAAAUAAUCGAUUCCCUUUUAGUUAGCAUUAGGAAUUCCGAUUCAUUUCAGUGAGUCGGUUCUUUUGGACGGUUCAUGUACAUGUACAAGUUAAAAUAAUCGAUUCCCUUUUAGUUAGCGUUAGGAAUUCCGAUUCAUUUCAGUGAGUCGGUUCUUUUGGUCGGUUCAUGUACAUGUAAAGGUUAAGAUAAACGAUUCUCUUUUAGUUAGCGUUAGGAAUUCCGAUUCAUUUCAGUGAGUCGGUUCUUUUGGUCGGUUCAUGUACAUGUACAGGUUAAAUAAUCGAUUCCCUUUUAGUUAGCGUUAGGAAUUCCGAUUCAUUUCAGUGAGUCGGUUCUUUUGGUCGGUUCAUGUACAUGUAAAGGUUAAAUAAUCGAUUCCCUUUUAGUUAGCAUUAGGAAUUCCGAUUCAUUUCAGUGAGUCGGUUCUUUUGGUCGGUUCAUGUACAUGUAAAGGUUAAGAUAAACGAUUCUCUUUUAGUUAGCAUUAGGAAUUCCGAUUCAUUUCAGUGAGUCGGUUCUUUUGGUCGGUUCAUGUACAUGUAAAGGUUAAGAUAAACGAUUCUCUUUUAGUUAGCGUUAGGAAUUCCAAUUCAUUUCAGUGAGUCGGUUCUUUUGGUCGGUUCAUGUACAUGUACAGGUUAAAUAAUCGAUUCCCUUUUAGUUAGCGUUAGGAAUUCCGAUUCAUUUCAGUGAGUCGGUUCUUUUGGUCGGUUCAUGUACAUGUACAGGUUAAAUAAUCGAUUCCCUUUUAGUUAGCGUUAGGAAUUCCGAUUCAUUUCAGUGAGUCGGUUCUUUUGGACGGUUCAUGUACAUGUACAAGUUAAAAUAAUCGAUUCCCUUUUAGUAAGCGUUAGGAAUUCCGAUUCAUUUCAGUGAGUCGGUUCUUUUGGUCGGUUCAUGUACAUGUAAAGGUUAAGAUAAACGAUUCCCUUUUAGUUAGCGUUAGGAAUUCCGAUUCAUUUCAGUGAGUCGGUUCUUUUGGACGGUUCAUGUACAUGUACAAGUUAAAAUAAUCGAUUCCCUUUUAGUAAGCGUUAGGAAUUCCGAUUCAUUUCAGUGAGUCGGUUCUUUUGGUCGGUUCAUGUACAUGUAAAGGUUAAGAUAAACGAUUCCCUUUUAGUUAGCGUUAGGAAUUCCGAUUCAUUUCAGUGAGUCGGAUCUUUCGGACAGUUUAGGCAAAUGAACAAUUCACUGAUUCACUUGAUCCCCGCGCAGCCAAAGCGACUUUGCUUUUCUUUUUUAAACUAAAUAUUUUAGUACAUCGCUGCUGUUUAUCACUAUAUUUUGAUUCAGUUAUAUAAAAUAGAUUGUUUUCUAGUUUUAUUAGUGUGUACAAUAUAUGUACAUAAUCCAAUAUUAUUUAGCGGCUUGAGCAAAAACCGAUCGGCACACGUAUUUUUUUACCCUCUUCCUCCUGUUUCACUUUGCUUGUAAACUUUACCGGCAAUUAUUACCGGCUUAUAAAAUGUGCGCAAGUGCUGUUCUCAAAGCUGUUUACAUUUCGAAGUCAAUUAUUAGACAUAGGACCGAUAGUGGAUUUUGCUGAUACCGAUAACUAAGGUGGUGGGAAAGGCCGAUAACCGAUAAAUCGGCCGAAAGUUUUUCUAAUUGAUUUAUAAAAUGUAAAUUAAAAAUAUUAUUCUGUUUAAUUUUUUCAGGAAAAGACAAAAAGUCCAAAAUGAAUAAAAUCCCAGAUGCAAUCUUUUGUUCAACCAAAAUCCCAAUUUGAUGUAUAACACGGGACUUUUAAGUAUAAACAAGCCCGAAACACACCGGGGACUCUUAUUUUGAAGUGCCGAAAUGAUGAAAAAACUAUCGACAUAAAUUUUUGCCGAUAACUGAUAGUUCCAAAAAGCAACUAUCGGCACCGAUUAAUCGGUAAAACUGAUAUAUCGGUCUACCUCUAAUAAUUAAAAGUCUCAUGUAAUCGCGAGUUUCUUAUAUCGUUGGUUUUUUUAAUAAGCUGUUUUUUGAUAGUUAUGACUCAUAAAUUAUGAGCGUCCUGCUGUGCGUGUCACGCUCAGUGUCGGCUGUUAAACUUACUGCUGAUGUUUCUGCCUCACAAAUACACAGAUUUGUGCGGUGAUGUCUGUGUAAAUAAAACGACAUGUUUGAUGUACUGUAGCACCAGGACAUGACACCGUUGCUUAGCAAAUUCGACAAGCUGUACCGUUACAUAUGGCAUUUGCCAAUGAUGUUCUCGCCUCUGUACUGUAAGUGUGUUGCUCUGUUGUCCUGUGAGCGCUCAGCGCCGCCUCUCCGGAGACUGUUCCGCAGCUCUCAAUAUUGCGCUGCUUUGUUUUAGUUACACUAUAAUGUGUUUGUUUAUGUAUCGUACGAUAUAUAUGGUAUUGUAUAGUGAGUGUUGUAUUGUAUGAUACGAUAUUUUUUGACACCCCAA